AAAAGGCAGAGCUGGGGACUUGGUCUCAGGGCCGGAGAGGAGGCCCUACAAACAGACAGACAGAUGGACGACAGCGCCCUGUUUCCUGAGCUGGUGGUCCCCACAGUUUUUGAGAAGCGCAGGGAAGCAGCGGUCAGAAGAUAACAGCCUUGGGCGCUCCUGAGAUGACUUGGAGACAACCCCUGCCCAAGUGGGCAAUCGCUGGCCCGUCUGACCUGUCCCUGUAAUCCCAGCGCUCGGGGGCUGAGCCAGGAGGCUCACCCUGCGUUCCAGG
rnacentral:lncRNA from 1 species